rnacentral:lncRNA from 10 species
CAAGGACAAGAAUUUUAUUCACUACUGCAGGAUCUACAACAAUGCCUGGGACAUAGGAUGGAGUCUCAUGAUAUUUCCCAGGCUGAAGUGGCUCUUCACAGGUGCAAUCAUAGCACACCACAGCCUUGCACUCCUGAACUUAAGCAAUCCUCCUGCCUCAGCCUCCUCAGUAGUUACAGACCCUGGAGAUCAAGAAAGCAGUUGCUCUUCUCU